rnacentral:tRNA from 1 species
GGGGCUGUAGCUCAGUGGUGAAGCAUUUGCCUUGCAUGCAGAAGGUCUCAGGUUCAACCCCCAACAUUUCCU